rnacentral:lncRNA from 1 species
AAAUGCAAACCCGAGUUGAUUCCGAUCCUUAGAGAUGAAAAUAAAGUUGCUGAUAAACUCGCUAAGAAAGCUCACAACUUCACUUCUUUCAAUCUGCAACACUUUGUAAACAGAUCAGAUAUUCUUUAGAUAAGGAAUUUGGUGAUGCUUCUACGAUAUGAUUCAAUGUUUCCAGUAUGGUUUGUUUUUUUUUGGUUACAAGUAUGGUUUGUUUAUGUUCGAUGUAGUUUGCUUGUUUUGUUUUUAUUGUUGAACUUUUAAUUACUUCCCCCUUCAAUGUAGGGAGGGAGGAAGAAGAAGAAUAUGUAUUGUAAGUGUGCUUGUCUGUAUUGCUGCGUAGUCUGAAGUAGUAAUAGAUAGGGACGUCCGAUUUUAAAUUGUCGAGAUCAUUUUUACUUAACUGUACCAUAUGUAAUUUAAUUAAACUCUUUAACUUCAACAGUCAGGCUAAGCGCAGAUAUGCAAAUCAUAAUUCCACGCGAACUAAACAUGCUCUAAGAUUCAAGUACCAUUGCAUAGAGUUAUAUUCUAAAUUGUUUAGGAGCUGGUGGAGUUGUUCGUGACCAUGAUGGUAGCUGGAUAGCAGGGUUCACUCACUUUGUUAUGAUCUCGGCUAUAAAAACAUCAGUUGUGAGAGUGAUUGUUUAUAGAAGCGGUCAACCUUAUUCACAAAUCUGGAAAAUGCAAGUUUGCAUGUGUAUGCCUCUGUGUUACUAGUAACCUUGGAUGUCAUACAUCAUGGGACUGUAAACUUAGUUCACAUUCUCAGGGAGCAAAAUAUAUGUUAAGAG